GACGAACCGUCCAAACGUUAUUCGGAAUCACUGGGCUUAAAGCGCGUGUAGGCGGGACGGCACGUCGGUCGCUGAAAGCCCCCGGCUCAACCGGGGAACGGGCGCCGAUACGACCGCCCUCGAGGAACGUAGGGGGACCUGGAACUUCCGGUGGAGCGGUGAAAUGCGUUGAGAUCGGAAGGAACGCCCGUGGCGAAAGCGAGGUCCUGGACGUUUACUGACGCUGAGACGCGAAAGCCAGGGGAGCGAACGGG
rnacentral:rRNA from 1 species